UAACUAUUUUUAAAAAAGACCCCAACUUAGACACGUAAAUUAUCUGCAAAACAGGAUGUUGUGGCACUGGUGCUUCAAUAGUAAAUAAGGGAAUCAACAUGCUGACCUUAGUGGAAUUUGCAGCUUGUUAUACGUAAUAUAAGCCUGAGAGCGCAGCCAUCAACAUAUUAACAACCAUUGUCUCAGGAACAGAUUAGAGAAACCAAAAGUGGAGGCAAAGAUUGCAAUUGAAGCUAUUUCAAGAGUCGAGGUGAAAUGUUGGAGGCCUACUUCAGAGACCAGCUACAAUCAACUUUCAAAUCACC